rnacentral:rRNA from 1 species
UGGGGAAUAUUGGACAAUGGGGGAAACCCUGAUCCAGCGACGCCGCGUGUGUGAAGAAGGCCUGCGGGUUGUAAAGCACUUUCGAUGGGAACGAAAUGUGCCGGGUUAAUACCCCGGUAAGCUGACGUUACUCAAUGAAGAAGCACCGGCUAACUCUGUGCCAGCAGCCGCGGUAAUACAGAGGGUGCGAGCGUUAAUCGGAAUUACUGGGCGUAAAGCGCACGUAGGUGGCGACGUAAGUCGGGUGUGAAAGCCCCGGGCUCAACCUGGGAAUUGCAUUCGAGACUGCAUUGCUGGAGUACGGAAGAGGAGGGCGGAAUUCCCGGUGUAGCGGUGAAAUGCGUAGAUAUCGGGAGGAACAUCAGUGGCGAAGGCGGCCCUCUGGUCCAGUACUGACACUCAAGUGCGAAAGCGUGGGGANCAAACAGGAUUAGAUACCCAAGUAGUCCCUGAGCGGGC